GUGGGGAAUCUUCCGCAAUGGACGAAAGUCUGACAGAGCAACGCCGCGUGAGUGAAGAAGGUUUUCGGAUCGUAAAGCUCUUUCGUUAGGGACGAACGUGCUCUUUGUGAAUAAUGAGGAGUAAUGACGGUACCUAAAUAAGAAGCCACGGCUAACUACGUGCCAGCAGCCGCGGUAAUACGUAGGUGGCAAGCGUUGUCCGGAAUUAUUGGGCGUAAAGCGCGCGCAGGCGGGAUAUCAAGUCUGUCUUAAAAGUGCGAGGCUCAACCUCGUGAGGGGACAGAAACUGGUAUUCUUGAGUGUCGGAGAGGAAAGUGGAAUUCCAAGUGUAGCGGUGAAAUGCGUAGAGAUUUGGAAGAACACCAGUGGCGAAGGCGACUUUCUGGACGAUGUCUGACGCUGAGGCGCGAAAGCUAGGGGAGCGAACGGGAUUAGAAACCCUUGUAGUCC
rnacentral:rRNA from 1 species